UUUCCAUUUUCGUCAUUGGUAUUGUUUUGUGGGUUGAGUUUUUUUUUUAAGGAUCUCCUCGCGCCGGAAAUGACGUACUUAAAGCUAAUGCCAUGGUCAGGCUCAGUCCUGGGCUUGCUUGAUGACGUCAGAGGUCGUCCACAGUCAUGCGUGUUGGGCUUCUCAUUGGGUUUCGUGUUAUGAGAGCGCGAGGCCUCGAACUUCAAUAAAUUAGUGGACGAGCCUCCACGGCCCCUGCUCCGUGUCCACAAUGGAGGCUAUGGACAUAGAUUUGGACCCAGAGCUUAUGCAGAAAUUCAGCUGUAUGGGCACUACGGACAAAGACGUGCUCAUCUCCGAAUUCCAGCGCUUAUUGGGCUUUCAGCUGAAUCCGGCCGGCUGCGCCUUCUUCUUGGACAUGACCAACUGGAACCUUCAAGCAGCCAUUGGUGCAUAUUAUGACUUUGAGAUCCCAAAUAUGAAUACCCCAUCUAUGUCAUUUGUGGAGGAUGUGACGAUUGGUGAAGGGGAGUCUGUUCCCCCAGACACACAGUUCACAAAGACGUGGAGAAUACAGAACACAGGUGCAGAGACCUGGCCACCAGGGGUGUCUCUCAAAUAUAUAGGUGGGCACCAGUUUGGGCACGUGAACAUGAUGAUGGUGCGUUCACUAGAGCCCCAGGAGGUGUCAGAUGUCAGCGUACAGAUGCACAGCCCAACAGCAGCUGGCAUGUACCAGGGCCAGUGGAGGAUGUGCACAGCCAACGGAUUUUUCUAUGGCGAUGUAAUCUGGGUGAUCCUCAGCGUGGAAGAAGGUGGUCUCCUAGGUGUGACUCAGCAGCUCUCUUCCUUUGAGACAGAAUUCAACACCCAGCCACACCGGUGUGUGCAGGAAGACUUCAACCCCUUUGCCUCACCACAGAAGAACAAGAAUGAUGCUGGCAAUGAACAGCUCAAGGACCCUGGAGGACCGUGGAAAGGCUCAACUGACCAAAUGCAGCAAGAGCAAAAUGGACUGUCAUGCAACUCUGUAAAUGCAACACCAAAUGGUCUCCAGAACAGCCUCUCAGUGAUUACGUACAGCCAGCAACAAUCUCCAGCCUUUCAUGGGGGAUCCCCAGCAGUUCUCAAGCCAACCACAAGAUAUAAUCUCUCCAUUGUGUCCUGGGUACACCCUGGGGGCCUUCUUCCGCUAGGGCACGCCUGACACACCUCUCAUGGGAGGCGUUCCAGGAGUAUAUCCUACCUAAAUACCUGAACAACCUCAGCUGAUUUUUUCAUGAUCUGGAGGAGCAUUGGCACUUUUGUGAGGCCCUUCAUGAUACCUCUCCCUGUCCUGAAGUAUGAGUCCUGCCACCCUACAGAGGAACCUCAUUUCUGUUGCAUAUACCCACGAUCUUGUUCUUUGCUCACUUCCCAAAGCUUGAGAGAAGGGGAUGUACACUGAACAGUCCCCCCCCAAAGGACUCGGGUCCUUCACCACCACAGUCCAUAACACUGUAUCUGCCAUGAGCUGACGGUCAAUGCUACAAUUCCCUCUUCCGGCACAGUGUCGGUGUUGAAUCACUUGGAAAGGCUCGUUAAGUCAAUGAAUAAGCCUUUGUAAAGCUGCCAUUUUUGAGAAAGGUAUACAUGGACCAUACCAUUUUGGACAGUCUUAACUGAAUGGAUUCCCAUAUUUUAGGCAGUGCUGAGAGCCUGCCACCUUAGGGAUUCAAUCCAUGCUGGGGGAGCAAAGAAAGGGUUACAGAAAUGAAAUACUGACUCUCUGCUGACCCCCUCCCAAAUCCCCCUUCUUCCCAAGUCUUCACCUCCAACUGCAACGUUUGAAAAUGAAGAGAUGGCUGAUUUUAUUCUUGUAUAAUCAAACCACCAGCCCCAAACCUUGAACGUACACAUAAGUGGUUUCAUAAACAAAGAAUGCAGCACAUUGUUAAAAUACACAUUUCAAUAGUUUUAGGAGAGCUAACAUGCAUAUAUUUUGUUUGUCUUCAUAUGAAAGUGGCGUGUUAAUGGAAUGUGGGUGUGCGGACGAUGGUAAGACAAAGGGGGCGGGAGAUAUUUGUAACUUUUUGCCCUUUGUGUAACCUUAGGUUUUCAGCUGAUGUUUUAAUGUUUUGAAUCUUGUUCUUUUUAUUAUAUUGACACUGGUUGCACAGUGUGUGCUAUUUGGAGACAAGAAUGUAAGGUGAGGGAGUUCUAACUCUUCCUGAUAUGAUUUUGGGUGUGAUUGAUCACCUUCAUGAUGAAUACAAAUCCUGUCGUCGCUGCCAGGAAAUUGAAAUGCCUUAGACUAGUCAAGGCAAGUAGUACUACUGAAGUACAGGAGUAGGUGUUGUUAGUCUAAACACUAUGCUGGUCUGGCCAGCCAGGGAGAUCAGCUGCACCAGAGCUAAAAGCAGUCUCUCCUACGUGACACUGUCUGUCUGGGUUCUCCUGCGCAGUGUUCUGUCACAGCCAGUGGCUUUAGAGGGGCAUUUCUUGUCUGUGUCCAUGUGAUGCUGUAGUUACAGCUACAGAUGUUUACAUGAUCAGACUGCACUGGGCCCGUGGUACAGGGCUUCUCUGUGACUCGAGAAGCCACAGCUGAUGAUUUAGCAGGGGGAUGCUGCCACAGUCAGGCAGAGUCAAGCUGUAAGCAUUGCACUAAAACAUUUGCCAUGUUCAAACUGUGGUGGGAUUCCUGAUCAGUGUCUUUCAGAUUUUGUGGAAUCAGUAUCCCAGGUGGAGUUCCAAGUUCCAUGAACUGGUAACUGAGUAUAUUUGUCACUGUCAAGAUCCAAGGUGUGAAAAAGGUGUGGAAAAACUGUGUGAAAUCCAAAGAUCAGCCAGCUUGAACUGGUACAGUGAUAGUGAUAUCAGACUUGAUGGUUGUGACAUCAAUAUUGUGUGUGUGUGUGUGUGUGUGUGUGUGUGUGUGUGUGUGUGUGUGUGUGUGAAUUAUGUUGCUAUAGAAUGUUACGCUAUGCCUUUUGAAUAUGUUAAUUUUAAUCAGGUUUUGGAUGUCUUAUUUUGGUUAAAAAGCAGCUAAUGAGACUUGAAAUGAGACACUUUAUUAUAUACAGUUUGGAAGUAAUAUGAAAUGACUGAUUUAUUAUGUAUUGACUGCUUAAAUUGUGUGACAUUCAGUUCACCUGAACACCAGCUUUUGGAGAAGAGGUUUCUUAAGUCUGAAACAAUUUUACUUUAUUAUACUUAUUCAGUUUGUACUACUGUUAAAGCUCUCACAGGAGCACUUUUAUAAUCCAUGCACAUUUGAAGUGUACAGUAACAAAUUCACCCCACAUUUUACUGUCAAGGAUUGUUGAACUUUUGUCAAGUUUCUUCACAUUUGCCCAGUGUAGUGCACUGAUUUAGUCAGUAAUUCUGUAUUUGGAUUUGGAGUCACCAUUGUUGGAGUCUUUGUGUUUUUUAUUUUUUUUUAUUUUUUUUUUUAAAAAUGCUGUGUUCCUGGGAACCUCUGAAUGAGGUUUACAGCAUCUGAGGUUUGCUUUGAGCUGUGUUGGUGUAACCUUAUUAGUUGUUACCACAAUCCUUGCCACAGUCAUCCCAAAGAGUAUUCACUGUCUUGCCUUGUUAUCAUGUAGUUUACUUUAAUAUUGUAAUUGCAUUUCUGAAUUCCUUUAGUAUGUGUUGAAUUCCUAGCCAGCCCCCCCCCCCCUUCUCCCCCUUACUGUCUAGUUGUGGGCAGGACAGUUUGGUGAAUGAAUGAGAUUUGUGUAGUUCCUGUCAUAGUACAUAUAAAAGAACAUAAAAAUGUCCAAAAGAAUUAUAAGCAUAUUUUGUUUAUAUAAAUGCACUUUUUCUAUGAUUAACACAAACUAAAAAUGUUUGAAUCGUGGGUGUUAUGGUUUGCUUGUCACUUUAGCAGUUAUACAUGCUUGUAUGUGAGGACUUAACAUUUUAACUUUCAUUUUUAAACAUAGCGUAUUGUUACGCAAUAAUGAUUUACCAGUUUGUUUUUAUAGUACAAAACAUUCAUUUGACAAAUAAAUGGACCACUGAAGUGUGACACCAAGAAAGUGGAAGUCUGUAAGGCCUUUGAGACAUUUCAGUUGCUGCUACAAUGGACAGAAAACACACAUUCUUGCUUCUUCUUUCCUAUACUGAUGACAUGAAUCUUUGUCAUGACCAGUGAUUCCUUUUGUAUCUGCCAAUGACAAACUUUUAUUGGAAAAAUAUCAGCUGUAAUUAGCAAGCCCUAUAGCUCAAACUAGAAACCUUGAGUGUCAUUGCACAAUUUAGAUCAUUUUAUAGUUGGAUCUACUUUCUUAAAUACUCAGCAUAUAAUUUAUGUGAGUUUUGUAUAUGAUGUGUUGCAUCCAUUCUUUUUUUAAAUUUGUUUUAUGGAUAACAUGGGAUCACAGCGACAUAAAGGUAGAGGCUACACCAAGCAAUUGUGUAUACGUCCACAUCCAUGAAACAAGGGCUGAAGGUGAGAAUGUUAAUAUUUCACAGUUAUGAUCACAGCCCUAUGUAAUAUUUUCCAUAAGGGUGUGUGCACAUUGCAGAAUUCCUCUGAAUUGUCAUGCAGGUCAAAUGUUAAGAGGAAGAUAACAUUUUAGUCAUUCACAUAUUUACAGUUUGCUUAUUCUGGAUUGUAUGUUGCUUUGGAUAAAAAUGUCUUUCAGGCAAAUAAAUUCAGAGUGAAUUUCAGUUUGUGGACCAUAGCAUUAAAAUUAAUUUCUGUGCCAAAUUUGUAAGCGUAAUCAGAAUACAUUUCAUAAAUUCAACAAAAAGAAUUUUGGUUUAAGAAGAAAACAGAGGGGGACUAAUUGUCAAAAUUCCGGGUUUCUUCAGAGCCCUAACUUUAGCAGCUGUCUUUGAUGAAGACUCUUUGUGCUUUAAGUUUUUUUUUUUU